CCAAGCAUUGCACUGGACACCCUGUUGCCCGCCUGCUGGUCUGCUAUGAACCACAUUCUGCUAACUCCUGGUGCACUUUCAAUCCACUGACAGAGAAGACAAUUGAUUGUUUCUGAUCCACUAACAGAGAAGACAAUUGCACAUAUGUCUACAAGCAACAGGGAAUAUUCUAGAUGCUAGAUGCACUGCUGAUUCUGCAAAUAGAAUCUUGAAAUGUGACAAAAAACAUGAUUUAGGAGUGGCAAUUGUUUGCCUGGGAGACCUGAGCAUUUCCAAGUGCUUCCCAGUGACAGCCUGCACGUGUCCAUCCCUCUCCCAGGAAGACUCUGCACCCUGCUCUGCUGUCUCUGCUAGGCUAAUGCCUUGUCAACCCUGAAGUCUUACCUGAAGGAAACAUUUGCACCUUGCGCAUUUCUAGGUGAUUCAAGAAAGUUUUUUGGUGUUUGUUCUGUCUGAA
rnacentral:lncRNA from 1 species